ensembl:lncRNA
CAAGGCUAAACUCCCCUCUUGGAUCAGAUUGGAGGUCAGGAAAGAGCCCCAGUCAGUCUGGAAUAGAGACUCUGCGCAGAAAGUCAGUGGAGUCGGUGACCGCACAGAGGUUUGACAUUUAAAAUAUGAUCAGAGAAAGAAAUUUAGGAAAUGCCAUUAGAGAAGUGGCUGUGUCUCUGUGAUAAUAUAGUAAUUUGAUAAUAUAGGCUGUAAUAAUAUAGUAAUAAUAAUAAAAAAAAAAAUCUGAACACUUAGAAAAUGAGCUGUAAUAAUUAAUACUGGACUACAGGAUACAUUUAGUGAUCAUAUAAAAUGGACAUCAUUUAUGAUACAAAAUGUUUAAUAAUUUCUUUGAAACAUUUCUGUCAGUUUAAGAAGGUUCUCCAAACCCAACUGCUUUGAUAAGAAGUUUCUUAUUUUUGGCUCAGAACCUGAAGAGCAGCAGGACAGGUCAGUGCACCUGCUUAUCUAUAUAAUGUUUUGCCAUGUUAAUUUCACAUUCUUUGAAUAUUUUUGCAUUUCUAAGUGUUCCCUUUAAAGCCUCAAUCACCAGUAUUCUGUAGAAAGCCAAUGAUAUUCUCCUCUUGGUGGCAGAGGUACUAUGAAAAAAAUAUUAAGACAGUCAGUUUGUAUUUAGCAAAUAAGAUGUUAAAACAGUUGAUUUUGGAGUGCAACUGAGCUAUGUGUCACCAUCAGGAGUUCUAUAAGAAGAAAGAGUGCCGCCCCAUUACUUGGCCUGAGCAACUGCAGGAGACAUUUAAUCAGUGUGCAGAGGAGAUACACAAAAGACUUCUCAUCUACCAGAGCCAGUCACAUGAUUACCACAACAGAUGGCUGCAAGAAUUUCAGCUGCAGUUGAAGGCCAUUGAGGAGUUUCUGUCCAGCGUACCAGAGAAGCUUUUUUCUAAACUAAUAGAUCGAUAUCUUGAGAAGCUGAUGCAAAGCAUGACACAAAUUCAACACCGGUUUCAACUAGCUCAGCAGCGGAGUGAACAAAAGAGGUGGGCUGCUGUCAUAGAGGGAACACAGUGGUCAGUUGCAUGUGCGUCUGAGCCAUCCAGCCUGUGA